GCCCUCCUCCCGCCCCGCCCCGUCCCGCCUGCAGGAUCUCCCCACCGCGCGCCAGUCCUCGGCCUCAGUCUUGCUGAAUUGAGUGGGCGCAGCCGCGGCUACUUUGUAGCGGUUCGGGCCCGGCCCAGCCCGCGGCAGUGAAACCCUGUCUCGGACUGACCAUGAGCCUAAAGAGCCUGUGUCCGUCGUCCCCUGGUACAGAGGCCUGAGUUCUAAGCGCAGGUUGAAAAGUACAGGUAGAAGCCACUGAAGCUGUAAAGCUCUGAUGCUGGUAUUUUAACUGACUUACACCAACUAUCACUCUGCAGUUUACAAUACACAAGAACCUUUAAUGAGGUCACAGUUCUCACGUAACUUGUAGCAACCUGGUGUCUGUGCACUGGCUUAGAAAUUAGAGCAGUGGGAUCCUGCUGGUGGUUUAAUUCUCACAAGUCUGUGAAGAGGGUACUGUUUCUCUUUUUGCAUUUGAGGCAGUAGUUCAGGUAGUCACUUAAGGUUCCAUCACAUAUGCCCAGGAAGCCUUGCAGCUACUUUUUUCCCUGUGUAACUGUUAGAAAGUCACUUAUCCUUCUUGAGACUUAGUGUCCUGGUAUAACAGGAGAAGUAUUUAAACAUGGGUUAGGUCACUUUGGUGGGGGAAGACCACAAAGCUACUGAGAAUAUAAACUCUUCAUAGUAUAUACUUGAACCUCUAAGAAAUUAAAAUUUAGCACAAAGGGAACUUAACCUCAGCAUGCUAAACGUUUUUGAUGAAUGUAGCAUGAUGAGCUGUAAAAAAGGAAUUUAAAGGACCCAAUGAUGCUAGAUUAUUAAAAUAUGAGUAUUGGGGUGAUGGGGGAGGUUUUCCUAUGGGAAGAAAUGUGUCACAAGAUGAACAGAACCCAGUUCCUGUCGAUCAGCUCUGGAUGUCUACAAUACCUCAUUUUCCAGAAUCUUAAAUAAAGCUACCGUCACAACAAAAGGUGUUGUGAAACUACACUGUCUGAAGGCGCCAGCAAAGUUCCCAAGGAUAACCACUGGUUUCACAAUCUGGCUCCAUUCCAUUGAGUCCCGAAGGAGGGCUGGGCUAACAGGUGAAGACCCUGAGUCGGCCACGGAUGCCUCCCUCUCCCAUUAACCAACCUCAACCCAUGCAGUCCUGUUCACACUUUGGUUUUGGCUGAAAACCAAAAGGACCAAAAGUCUUCUGGACUGAACAAUGGCAGGUGAAAGAUGUGAGUCGUUUCUAUAGCCAAGGGGUAAGACUGGAAGGACUGG